GGAGAGCAUCCUACGGGAGGCAGCAGUGGGGAAUAUUGCACAAUGGGCGCAAGCCUGAUGCAGCCAUGCCGCGUGUAUGAAGAAGGCCUUCGGGUUGUAAAGUACUUUCAGCAGUGAGGAAGGUGGGUAUGUUAAUAGCAUAUUCAUUUGACGUUAGCUGCAGAAGAAGCACCGGCUAACUCCGUGCCAGCAGCCGCGGUAAUACGGAGGGUGCGAGCGUUAAUCGGAAUUACUGGGCGUAAAGCGCAUGCAGGUGGUUUGUUAAGUCAGAUGUGAAAGCCCGGGGCUCAACCUCGGAAUUGCAUUUGAAACUGGCAAACUAGAGUACUGUAGAGGGGGUAGAAUUUCAGGUGUAGCGGUGAAAUGCGUAGAGAUCUGAAGGAAUACCGGUGGCGAAGGCGGCCCCCUGGACAGAUACUGACACUCAGAUGCGAAAGCGUGGGGAGCAAACAGGAUUAGAUACCCUGGUAG
rnacentral:rRNA from 1 species